UUGUCAUAUGGGAACCAUGUCUCUGUGAA
rnacentral:piRNA from 1 species